CUUUUUGGAGAGUUUGAUCCUGGCUCAGGAUGAACGCUGGCGGCGUGCCUAAUACAUGCAAGUCGAGCGAACUGAUGAAGAGCUUGCUUUUGAUCAGUUAGCGGCGGACGGGUGAGUAACACGUGGGUAACCUGCCUGUAAGACUAGGAUAACUCCGG
rnacentral:rRNA from 1 species